CAGCAGCCGCGGUAAUACAGAGGGUGCGAGCGUUAAUCGGAUUUACUGAGCGUAAAGCGUGCGUAGGCGGCUUUUUAAGUCGGAUGUGAAAUCCCUGAGCUUAACUUAGGAAUUGCAUUCGAUACUGGGAAGCUAGAGUAUGGGAGAGGAUGGUAGAAUUCCAGGUGUAGCGGUGAAAUGCGUAGAGAUCUGGAGGAAUACCGAUGGCGAAGGCAGCCAUCUGGCCUAAUACUGACGCUGAGGUACGAAAGCAUGGGGAGCAAACAGGAUUAGAUACCCCGGUAGUCCCUGUCUCUUAUAC
rnacentral:rRNA from 1 species